AGAUAUGGCAGGCGUCCGGGUAGCCCUACUAUCUUUGUUCGUAGUGUUGGUUUUAGUUAACUGUAAAUGUACUAAGCCUCCUUGCCCACCCAAAGAGUGCAAUAGCAAGACGACCAUUUGUUACGACAGAUCAAAUUCAGGAGUGUUUAUUCCUAUGAAGCGUCAAGAUAAUUCCGGUGAAAUGAACCCACUAACAACGUAACGUCACAUACACAAAUUAGGCCUACAGCAGUAUCGAAAUGGAAAGGAAAAUGUUAAAUCAAAAUCGUUAUUAUUAUAGCAAAUUAUAGCACAAUCAAAGCGACAUGUAGUGACUAAUAAUGUUUAUGAUUAGGCCUAUAAAUAUAACUUAAAACGUUAUAUAUCUGGAAGAAAACUUACCUUUGAAGCUUUUGACUAUCACUGUAGUUUUGUUCACAAUGAUAUAUAAAGAGAUAUAUAUGAGAUAUAAAGUUUUAAUUUUUAUUUAUAAUUGUCAACCUGGAUAGAUGAAUCUGCAUCAGUCAAUCUUUAUGAUAUUAACAUAAAUUUUAGUCCCGUCUCUUUUGAGUUCGGCGAGCUUAAUCAUAUAAAUCCAGAACGCAUCUACGAUUUUUUUGCACAAGUUUGAAAUAAAUAGCAGACAAUAGUCAUGCAUUGAGAAAAUAA